AACGAACGCUGGCGGCAUGCCUAACACAUGCAAGUCGAACGAAGCCUUCGGGCUUAGUGGCGCACGGGUGCGUAACGCGUGGGAAUCUGCCCCUUGCUUCGGAAUAACAGUUAGAAAUGACUGCUAAUACCGGAUGAUGUCUUCGGACCAAAGAUUUAUCGGCAAGGGAUGAGCCCGCGUAGGAUUAGGUGGUUGGUGGGGUAAAGGCCUACCAAGCCGACGAUCCUUAGCUGGUCUGAGAGGAUGAUCAGCCACACUGGGACUGAGACACGGCCCAGACUCCUACGGGAGGCAGCAGUGGGGAAUAUUGGACAAUGGGGGGAACCCUGAUCCAGCAAUGCCGCGUGAGUGAUGAAGGCCUUAGGGUUGUAAAGCUCUUUUACCAGGGAUGAUAAUGACAGUACCUGGAGAAUAAGCUCCGGCUAACUCCGUGCCAGCCGCCGCCGUAAGAC
rnacentral:rRNA from 1 species